CCGGCCGCGGCGUCGAGGAGACGCUGUGGGCGGCCUGGCAGGCCACCGGUCUGGAACGACGCUGGGCGGCGUCGGCGGUCCGGGGCGGCCCGGCCGGG
rnacentral:tRNA from 1 species